rnacentral:rRNA from 1 species
AUGUACACGGCUUUCCAGGUGGACGAACAUACGUUCAAGGUGUGUUCUAUCAUGGGCAUGUCAGAUUCAGAACCUGAAGACCCAGACAAGGGAAGGAACUACUUUGUGAAGGCAUCGAUAAGCGAAGGCAAAUACUACCGCCAAUGCUGCAAAUUCGAACGGGACGGGAUUGUGUGCUGUCACAUUCUAAAAGUAAUGGACUUGAACGUGGUGACACGAAUGCCCCGCCAUUUCAUAAGAUGGCGAUGGACUUGGGAUGCUGACGACGCAUUGGCGCCGCAAACAUCAAACGCAGUUUUGGCCGUGCAUGACGAGCGACCAGAGUCAACCAUGGAAGCCGUGAGGCACGUUGUGUUGACAAAGAACUAUGCUGAACUAAUUGAUGAAGCAUGCAAGAGUGAUGAGACAGCAAGGGUCGCAGAAAAACACAGGAAGGCCCUCAAAAGAGAGCUUGAUGAGAUCAAGAAGAGGAAAGCUGAGGAAGCCUUACACAGGUUCCCCCACACAUCAAGUGUGCCUUCGUCCACAGGGCCAUCAUCUGAAAACUCGGAGGUAGGAUCUGGAACAGCAAGCACACAAACACAGGUUAGGAACCCGCCCCGUUCCAUCACAAAAGGGCGUCCAAAAGAGAUAAGAUACAAAUCGAGAUUGGAGAUUCAAGCAAAACAAAAGAAACCAAAGAAAGGGACGGGCAAUCCGUAA